rnacentral:rRNA from 1 species
UACGUAGGGUGCAAGCGUUGUCCGGAAUUAUUGGGCGUAAAGAGCUCGUAGGCGGUUUGUCGCGUCUGCUGUGAAAACCCCGAGGCUCAACCUCGGGCCUGCAGUGGGUACGGGCAGACUAGAGUGCGGUAGGGGAGAUUGGAAUUCCUGGUGUAGCGGUGAAAUGCGCAGAUAUCAGGAGGAACACCGGUGGCGAAGGCGGGUCUCUGGGCCGUAACUGACGCUGAGGAGCGAAAGCUAGGGGAGCGAACGGG